UACGUAGGGUGCAAGCGUUAAUCGGAAUUACUGGGCGUAAAGCGUGCGCAGGCGGUUUUGUAAGUCUGUCGUGAAAGCCCCGGGCUCAACCUGGGAAUUGCGAUGGAGACUGCAAGGCUUGAAUCUGGCAGAGGGGGGUAGAAUUCCACGUGUAGCAGUGAAAUGCGUAGAGAUGUGGAGGAACACCGAUGGCGAAGGCAGCCCCCUGGGUCAAGAUUGACGCUCGAUGCACGAAAGCGUGGGGAGCAAACAGG
rnacentral:rRNA from 1 species